GGUGGGAUGUCCGAGUGGUUUAAGGAGCACGCUUGGAAAGCGUGUAUGGUAGUAAUAUCAUCCCGGGUUCGAAUCCCGGUCCCACCG
rnacentral:tRNA from 1 species